CUUUUGACGACGACGAGAGAGCCUUCAACAUCCUUACGACUCCAUUGGCUGAGGUCGAUGUUGAACUCGUAGAAGGUGACAUGAGCGGCCGUGAUGAGGAUCUCCUCAAUGAAUGGAUCGAUUCGCUGAAGAACUGUCAGGUUCAGGAGUUUUGUGCUCUGCUGGUCCAGAUUAAGCAUCAAUUUUCCGUUAUGCGACAUUUUUCAUAGUCGUUUUGGGCUCUGCCCCGAGCACAAGCCCCAGGGUUUUUCUGUGAGCUCUCUCUUUUGUAAAUAAAGUGUUUGAUGAGAUAGCCGAGAGAGAGUGAAAGUGUUGAACAGCCAAACACGGUCUCGAGAUUGAUCUUCCUUUAACUUCUUUUAAACAUUUGGGAAAUAGCAUUUAUUUCUUUUAGUUUCUCUACUUUUUUUUUCCUUUAUGUCAUUUAGACCCCAAAAUUAGAUUUAUUAUAAUCCUAUUUUACCCAUACACUAUUAACCCCUUUUAUUUUUAAAAUUUGUCAAUAUUAAUGUGUUAGAAUAAUGUUAAAAAUCUCAAUUAUUAUCUCAAUGUUUCAAUCAUAACUAAUGUGAUGACUCAUUGGUAACUGCAACAUUAACUUAAUUAUUAAUGUAACACAAUAAAAGUUUGCCACUUCGGCAUUGGUCGGAGUGGUGGGAUGCUUGUGAGGGCAGCGGUUCAAGCCCCCACAAAAGCAUUUGUGGGGGCUAACGUUGUGGGGGCUAACGUGCUUAUUUGUUUAAUAUUUCAAAAAUUUCCUCUCCCUCGUGCAAUACGAGUGGAGUAUGGACAUCCCUCUUCUGUAAGGGAUUAUUUGUCUGGGCAUGUACUUCACAGAAUUCAAUGUAAUAAUAUAAGUCCCAAUCAUGUAUUUCUGAUUGUAAAUAUCAGUGUAAUAUAUCUGCUGUUGAUGCGAGAUUCUGGUUCUCCUCGUUCUACGACCAGGAUCUCUGCUCGAUCAACUUUACCACGACCAGGAGGUCUCCUAGUAAUGCUUCUUCUCCAGAUGUCCCUGCACACACAGACAAGUCAGAGUACGCCGGUUGUUCUCCCGGCGCAAACCCUCCGACGCUCAAGUCAGAUAUGAAGGUUCGGGGAACGCUUGCCACAGGUCUUAUGGCUUUUUCGUGGUUUUCUCUUUUAUCUUAAAAAUGCUAACCCUUUUACCUUCGUUGGCUACCUUUUUAUAGGCUUCUCCGAAUCCCCGUUUUCCGCUUUUUGCCAGACGGUAUGGGACUCUGACUGCUGCGUCAUGGGCGAAGGUGGGAUCUUGCGUGUUACGCCACGGUUCUGGGGAAAGCGUGGCUGUCGUGCCUAGAUUCUCGGGCUGGAGAGCAUGUCUUGCCAACUGCCGUCGACCGGGUCUCCUCGCUUCUCGACCUCUAGCCGGAAUGAUCUUAUGCCUCUUACAGGAAAUUGACCUCGCGGAUGACGUGCUCGUGGACGAGCAGGAUAUUUCUGCUCCUGUUCCCCCGCGCAUCAGGCUUUUACGGAACACACCGGCUCGAGGAACUCUGCCCCCAGAUAUCUGCUCACCAUGCCUGGUCUCGUCGACGUAUUUCUCCUAAACACCGGUCCCCCAGUUUCUGGUGUUGGGUAAUGUAGUGGACCAGCAGUAGAAACUCGAUAGUACUCGCUCACGUGGGACUGGAAAAGGCUGCCAAGAGUCGUGUCGCAUUUAAUUGCGGACGGGGUGACGUGGCGAAAAUCCCCCCCUCCAUUUGAAUUUCAAACCGACGGUUAUGAGGCCCUCGGGAUUCGGCGCUGUUAAAUGCUGGCAACCCAAGAGUCCGUCCCCAUUAGAAAAACCAAAUCCUCUCGAACGGCAUAUUCAUCAUCCACUACGUCUCCGUCUCUGUCUCUCCGGCAAAGAAGUUCCGGCAUAAAAGUCCUCCAUCUCUGAUUUUCACCGACUGAACCAUUACUUCAGGUAUUUCUUCUAUCUCCUUGGCCUCGGAUAGUUGUAGAUAAUUUCUCUUUUCUUCUGUUUGGGUAGUAGUUGGUGGUGUUGUGGUUAGAGCUUAGGGAAUGUCGAAAGGCAAAGAGAAGGUCAUUGAGGUUGACGACGACGAGUUGGACUUCCUGCCUAGUCUGCUCACCGACCCUGCUUUUGACCCCGGGAUUCCCUUAGAGCCCACUAGGUCUAGUGUCGGGACUAGUGCUAGGAGGAUGUCUCCCCAAACAACCUCUACGAGCGGAAGUAGUGGUGAGGAGAGAUCUUCUGACUCUGAGGAUACGUUGAGUGAGAAUGGCGAAGGUGAUUCUGGUGAGGUGUCUCCAUCUAGAACAUCACGACCAGGAGAACGGGGUACAGUAGGAGGCAGAGCCUUGUCGCGCGAUUAUGCCAUUGAUUACAUGACGUGCACGACCUCGUUUGACGAGCUCAAGGACCUCCGGCUUAGGUAUAGCAUUCCUGGUGAGAUACCUCUCAAGGUCCCAGGAAAGAAGGAUGCUCCCAGCCGGCCUCCUAGGGGAUACGUUACCCUGUUUUUAGAGAGCUUUAAGUACGGGCUGAGGUGUCCCUUGCAACCCUACUUUGCCCGGAUACUUAACGGGCUAAACCUAUCUCCUGGUCAGCUGAAUCCCAAUGGGUGGAGAGUGCUCUCUGGUCUGUUCAUAUUGUGGGACAGAUGUUGCCAGAGCGAGCCCACGGUUGAUGAGGUGAGACACCUGUACCAGCUAAAGAGCAGCCCCAAAGAUGCCGGCUGGUACUACUUCCAAUCUAGCACCAAGAGCAGGAAACCUAUAACCGACCUCCCCACUGGUGGUGGUGGGAAUUGGAAGAGAAAGUUCUUUUUUGCUGGGGGUCCUUGGGGUCAGGUUGCACAAAUGAACGGGAAGGAUUAUCGGGUCCCACCCCGUUUCACGGUCCCAGGUUGCCUGCUUGCUUUUAGAUGUCUUGUAUCCAUAAGUGUUCUUGCUUUAUUGGCUUGUCUCUAACCAAGUGUCUGUUUGUGUUGUAGUUUCUUGGGGUGUUCACUUCCCGCUCCCACCCGACCAGCUCAAACGGGUCGAGGAUGUGCUCGCCAAUUCCUGCUCGAGCCGGGAACUGUUAACUACGUACAACUUGCUCGAGUCUCGCUUGAUACUUCCUGGCCAUAGGAUGGAGGACGCUGUGAUUGGGGCUCUGACCCGAAAACGUUCUCGACCCCCAACCACGAAGAGGGACCAGAGUAAGGAUGCCCCUGUGGCAAAGCGGGCCAACAUCGUGCAGCAGGUCCCACCCUUGAAGAUUUUACCUCCUGCUCCCGUAAAAAUUGGGGAAGCUGGUGGAGCUGCCACAGAUCCUGCUUCCUCUCCUCCUCCUGUCGGGCCCCGAUCUCACUUACCUGACAGCCGAGCAGAACAUCUGGUCCUCUACUUCAAUGAGUUAACUAAACUCGUGAGCAGGAAGGAUCUGGAGGACUUUGACGGCCGCACCUUGGGUGAGUUGGUGGGGGCCAUGCAGCAUAGCGCUUUCCACCUCAGCUGCAUGACCACCUAUUACAAGGCUAAGGUUGGCCGCUAUGACCGGAAGAUGAAGGAGGAUAUUCAAUCGGCGACGACCAGAGCUGACGUUGCCGAGAAGAAAGCAGGGGAGCUGAAUCUCGAGAAUCUGAAGCUGAUGGAGCAAGAAUCACUUGCUCAAGCAAAAGCCAUCGCCCUCGAGGAGGAGCUUAUCAAGGUCAGGGAGGAUCUGCAAAGGCAGAAGACAAUGUAUGAGGCUCAGCUCGAAUCUCUUCGCGACUCCCACCGAGCUCAGGCCGAGAACUUGGAGAGGGAGGCCGACAACCAGUACGACCAGGGACUUCGGUAUUCCUAUCGUUGCAUCAUGGCCGUCCUCGGGAAGCAACACCCUGAUCUGAAGAUGGGUGACCUUGCGGCUGGUGUUGCUCAACAUAUGGACGAGGAGGCGGCCAAGGAGGAUGCCAAAGGGGUAGAGCCGAUCGUGAUAGAGGAGGAAAACUCUCCUCCUCAUGUAGUCCCUGCUGAUGUUGGCGAGGCGAGCACCCACCCCAAUGCCUCUAGUGAUACCCCUCCUGCACCUGAGGAGGUCCAGCCAACCGAUGCCGCUGGGCUCACUGAUCCACCAUCUUCUUGAUAUAUUUCUUGUAUUGUAAUGACAAUGUUUAUGAAGAUUAUUCCCUCUGUUAAUUAUUAACAAAUUAAUAAAAAUGUUUUUGAUCACCUUCUUGUGUCGUAAUUACGAAUUAAUUUUCGUUUGAGAAUCUGCUUGUCUUUGUCUAAACGAGCAGGUUCCGGCUUGGCUCAUGGUUUUGCCACAUGCCUUUGAAGAUUUUUCAAUGCUUGGGAUUCGGUUUGCCUUCGCGCAGUUGAGCAGAUCCUGGCACGCUUGGCUUCUGUCUCGCCAUAAGAUAGGCUUUGAGACUUGACGAGCCUUUGCAUGCCUUGGAUUCUUCAAAGCUCAGGAUUCUGCUGCCUUCUCGUGGCCGAGCAGAUCCUGGCAUGCUUGGCUUCUGUCUCGCCAUAAGACAGGCUUUGAGACUUGACGAGCCUUUGCAUGCCUUGGAUUCUUCAAGGGUUGGGAUUCUGCUGCCUUCUCGUGGCCGAGCAGAUCCUGGCAUGCUUGGCUUCGGUCUCGCCAUAAGACAGGCUUUGAGACUUGACGAGCCUUUGCAUGCCUUGGAUUCUUCAAGGGUUGGGAUUCUGCUGCCUUCUCGUGGCCGAGCAGAUCCUGGCACGCUUGGCUUCUGUCUCGCCAUAAGACAGGCUUUGAGACUUGAUGAGUCUUUGCAUGCCUUGGAUUCUUCAAGGGUUGGGAUUCUGCUGCCUUCUCGUGGCCGAGCAGAUCCUGGCAUGCUUGGCUUCUGUCUCGCCAUAAGACAUGCUUUGAGACUUGACGAGCCUUUGCAUGCCUUGGAUAAUUUCUUGGUUUCAAGCGUAAAAUUGCUUCAUUAAUGGCAGGAUUCGACUUACAUAAAAUUGUUUGGGACAUAAAGCGUAAAAGAUAAACGAUAAUGAGCAUGAGCAGAAAUAGCUCUCAAAUGUGAACAAAUCUUACUGGAAGUAUUUUCGGAGGUGUGCUGCGUUCCAUGGGCGUUUCACCUCGUGGCCGUCCGCGCGAACCAGCCUGUAAGCUCCGGGUCCCGCUAUCUGCUUGACUCUAUAUGGCCCUUCCCAAUUCGGUCCCAGCACUCCUUGAGUCGAAUCUUUGGUGCUCUGAUUCACUCUUCUCAGUACCCAGUCUCCGACCCUGAAUUGCCGUAUGUUCACCUUCUGGUUAUAAUACCGAGCAACCCUCUGUUGGUAAGUGACUGAUCGCUCGGCUGCUUGCUCCCUCCUUUCCGUCAGCAGAUCAAGAUUCAAACAUAUCUGCUCGUCGUUCUCCUGCUCAUUGAAAUGAUCUGUCCGGUGUGUGGUCGUUCCUAUCUCAGCCGGCACGACCGCUUCGUGUCCGAAAGCCAAAGCGAACGGUGUCUCCCCCGUUGCGGUUUUGUGGGUUGUUCUGUAUGCCCAUAGCACACCUGACAGCUCGUCAACCCACGCACCCUUUUUUGCACCAAGCCUGGUUUUCAAAAGCCUCUUGAUGGUCUUGUUGGCUGCUUCUACUUGUCCAUUCGAUUGAGGGUGAGCAGGCGAGCAAUACUUCAGCUCUAUCCCGAGGUUCUGGCAGAAAUCCCUGAAGCUGUGAUUAUCGAACUGCCUGCCAUUAUCCGUUACCAAGGCAUAAGGGAUCCCGUAUCGACAGACCAGGUUUCUCCACACGAAGUCUGUUGUUUUCUUCUCCGUGAUCCUGCUAAGGGCUUCCACCUCUAUCCACUUCGUGAAGUAAUCUAUAGCAACUAUUGCAUGUGUUGCUGCUCCUCGUCCUUUUGGCAAUGGGCCGAUCAGAUCAAUUCCCCAUUGAGCAAACGGCCAAGGGGAGGCCAUAGAGGUGAGCUUCUCUGGUGAUUGGUUGGAGAAAUUUACAAAACUCUGGCAGCUUGCACAACCCCUGGUCUUCUUUUGCGCAUCCUGGUGCAUUGUCGGCCAGAAAUAUCCCUGCCUUAGGACCUUGUGGGCCAGGGACCUCCCGCCAGAAUGAUUUCCGCAAAUUCCUUCAUGUACUUCUCUCAGCACGUAAUCCGCGUCGUCGUCAUCCAAACACCGAAGGAACGGUAAUGUGUAUCCUCGCCGAUACAGUACCCCAUCGAUCAUCGUGUAUCUCGAGGCCUGAGCUCUAAUCUUCCGAGCUCGCAGCUUAUCUGGUGGUAAUACCCCGUCUCUAAGGUAUGAAACUAUCGGGUCCCUCCACGAGCAUUUUUGUUCUAUCCGCAACACCCCCAAAUUCUGCUCGAUACUUGGGCUGGACUUCACUUCUAGAGGGACGGACUUUGGCAUUUUUGGGUCGGCUACUGCUGCCAUCCUAGCCAAAAUGUCUGCUCGACUAUUCUGCUCCCUGGGGAUUUGUAUCACCUCCACUGCUUCGAACUUCCCCAUCAUCUGCCUGACUAUCUUCAGGUACUGUUCCAUCUUCUCCUCUCUUGGUUGGAAUCUUUCACUGACAUGAUUCGCAACCAGCUGGGAAUCAGUUCUGAUCUUAACUCUGUCUGCUUUCACGGCCCUAGCCAAUUCCAGGCCUGCUAUCAAGGCUUCGUACUCUGCCUGGUUAUUUGUGACUGCAAAUUCCAACUUUACAGCAUAAGAGAUCUCCUCCCCCUCUGGGCCUUCCAGGACAAUCCCUGCUCCUGAACCCCGCUCCCCUGAUGACCCAUCUACAGACAUCUGCCAUACUUGAGUUUCGUCAUUGCCUAUAACUGCAUCUUGUUGACCUAAGCAUGUUUCGGGCUCUGUGAAUUCAGCUACGAAAUCGGCCAUUGCCUGGGCCUUUAUCGCUGCGCGGGGUUUAUAGUCUAUGUCGAACUCGCUCAGCUCUACAGCCCACUUGACGAGCCGCCCAGAGGCAUCUGGCUUGUGCAGAGUCUGACGCAAUGGCUGGUCUGUUAUUACCGAGAUCGGGAAGGCUUGAAAAUAUGGCCUCAACUUCCGAGCAGCAACCACAAGGGCAAGUGCCCAUUUCUCCAACGGUGGGUACCUGGUCUCAGCGUCGAGCAGGGCCUUGCUGGUGUAGUAUAUCGGAUACUGAACUCCUUCUUCCUCUCUCACCAGAACAGAACUGGCGGCCCGAUCCGAUACCGCCAAAUACAGAUACAACUUGUCCCCAUUCCUCGGUGUGGACAGCAGCGGAGCUUGCUGCAAGUAUUGCUUCAAGUUCCGGAAGGCUUCCUCGCAUUCUGGGGUCCAUUCUGUUUUCUUUCCCCUCCUUAUCACUUGAAAGAAUGGCUGACACUUAUCUGUAGCUUUGGAUAUGAAUCUGCUCAACGCCGCCAACCUCCCCGUGAGGCCCUGCGUCUCCUUCAGGUUACGAGGAGACGUCAUUUGCACAAUCGCCUGGAUUUUCUCGGGAUUUGCUUCAAUCCCCCUAUGGCUCACCAUGAAUCCCAGGAAUUUCCCUGACUCGACCCCAAAAGCACACUUCUCCGGAUUGAGCUUCAUCUUAUACUUCCUCAAAAGCUCGAAUGUCUCCUCGAGGUGUCUGACAUGUUCCUUCGGGAUCUUGGACUUGGUGAUCAUGUCAUCCACGUACACCUCCAUGGUUUUCCCGAUCAACGGCUUAAAGACUUUGUUCACCAGCCUUUGAUAGGUGGCCCCAGCAUUCUUGAGACCGAAUGGCAUCACCCUGUAACAGAACAAACCUUGGUUAGUGAUGAAAGCCGUGCUCUCCUCAUCCUGCUCGUACAUGGGGAUCUGGUUGUAUCCCGAGAAUGCGUCCAUGAAGCUAAGCAGACCAUGUCCAGCUGUUGAAUCUACUAGCUGAUCGAUCCUUGGUAAAGGGAAGCUGUCUUUUGGGCACGCCUUGUUGAGGUCUGUGAAAUCCACACACAUCCUCCACUUGCCGUUUGCCUUCUUUACCAACACCACAUUUGAUAUCCACUCUGGGUAACUGACUUCCCGAAUGAACCCUGCUCUCAGGAGCUUCUCCACCUCGUCAUUUACAGCCUCAUACCUCUCCUGGUUGAAGCACCUCCUCUUCUGCCUUACUGCCCGAGCACCUUUCUUUAUUGCCAGCUUAUGACACGCUACCUCAGGGUCAAUCCCUGGCAUGUCUUCAUGUGUCCAGGCAAACACAUCAGCAUGAGCCUGUAAGCAUUUCACCAACUCCUGCUUUUGCUCUCCCUUCAGUCUCGACCCGAUUCUGAUCGUCUUUCCCGGGUUCUCUGGUCCCAUGCUUACCGUUUCCAGAUCCUCUACAGGUUCUUGUCUGCCAGUCUUGUUUUCUACUCGGGUAUCGAAGGAUGUUAUCUGCAUUGCCUCCCUUGCUGCCGAGGAGUAGCAGCUUCUUGCGAUCCUCUGGUCUCCUCGUACCACUCCUACUACCCCAUUCACCCGGUACUUCAGAGCCAGAUAAUGGUUGGACAAUACCGCUUUGCUCAUCCUUAAAAACGGCCGACCUAGGAUCAUCUGGUAAGGACCUUCCUCAUCCACUACGACAAAGUCCAGUAUCAUUGUUCUUUCUGUUAGGGGGCUCCCAAUUGUGAUAGGUAGUUCGACCACGCCCAGGGGAACCAGCUUCCCUCCUCCGAACCCCUUCAAGGAGGUGUUGGUGUAUUCCAACUUCCGGUCGGCUAUUCCCAUCUCUUCCAGGGUUGACUUAAAUAACACAUCAACUGAGCUCCCUGUAUCAACCAGUAUCCGGUCAAACUUCUUGCUAGCGACCGUAGCCUUGAUGACUAAGGCAUCCUCGUGGGGGUAUAGGAUCCCUUCCUCAUCCUCAUCCGUCCACAUGAUUGGCACUUGCCUGACCCUUGCCCGUUUGGCUGCUGGGGUGUUGAGGAGUACCUCUUUACUGGUCAUGGCGUACCUAGCAUAAUUUUUUCUCGAUCUGUUUGAAUCUCCGGCCAACGUUGGGCCCCCCGCUAUCACCCUUACUGCGGGCUGCUCGUGCCUCAAGAUUCUAUCACUCUGCUCCCCUUCAUCUGUUGUGGCCACCAUCGGGAAAGUCCCAUCCAUAAACUCGUCCAGGUACCGAUUUCUCACCAAAUCUUCGACUUGGGUCUUGAGAUCUCUACACUCUGCUGUGGUAUGGCCAUGGGUGCCAUGGAACUUACAAUAACGUCCUCUAUCCCUCCUGUUGGGUAGCUUUGUUAUUGAUGUAGGGAGGUGCAGCAGCCCUCGAUCCUUUAUAGCCUCGUACACCUCAUCCAGGGACAUCUUCAAGGGAGUGUACCGCCCAUAGUCCUGGUGCUGGUCGAUCCGAUGUACUGCUCUUUCUCUGUUUGUCCCGCUCUGAGUUGGGGGCGGUAGAAGUACUUCUGGUCUGCUCGUCCUGCUACCGUGGGAAUGUUGAUGAAGACCACCAGAUGCCGGAUCAUUUCUUGUCCAAGGUUCCCUAGCUGGGGAACGAGGAGGUUGCGCCCUGCUGCGCUGAUACUGUGGUGGCCUCUGAUGAGGCUGGUAAGCAGUGACCCUGCCUCCUGCUCCACUACCGGAGGCCUGGUGGUCCCUCCUCCUGAUCGGCCCGUUCCCUGGUAAUGCUUUCAUCUCUCUCCUCCCCAACCCUUCUAUCUGGUCUGUCUUGAUCCGUGCAGCCUUCUCCUCUUCAAUCUCGAUGUCUCUUUUAGCCUGUUCGUAUGCGGCCGCAUACGUUUGAAUAGCUGGGCUUCUCAAAUUGUACCACAGCCUUCCUAUCUUCACCCCUUCUUUCAAUCCCCUUAACGCCUGAGGGUGGUUGAAGGCUCCCAAGUCGAGGACAGCCCGAUGAAACCUCUUGAUGAAUUCCGGAAGGGUUUCUUGCUCCCCCUGUUUCAUGCUUUUUAGCUCCAUCAUGUCAUCUUCCGGUGACAUUGCCCUACUGAACUGCUCCGCGAAUUCCUGGCACAUCUGCUCGAAGGUUUUAAUGCUGCCCCGAGGAAGUUUCAUGUACCAUUCUCGUGCACGUCCCUCAAGGGAUAGUGGGAACACCCUGCACCUUUGGGAUUGAGAUAAUCCUUGUACCCCAGUUAUGUCGUUGAAGCGCUCUAUGUGCAUCAGCGGGUCAGUUCUUCCCGUGUAUCUGAAGUCGGGGAGGCGGAAAUCUCUCGGAAUAACUGCCCUCAUGAUCUCUGCUGCGAGCGGUGAUUCUCCGUCCAGCAUUAUCCUCCAACCAGGGGCUCUGUUCCUCCCUUGCAUAUCGUCAAUUAUCUGCGCUAGUCUGCGCACUUCCUCCUCCAGCUGCCCUGCACGACCAGGGUCACGUGCUGCAACUUGAUCCCGCUCUUGCUCUACAUCUUGCAAGUGUUGCCUCAACUCGGUUUCCUCUGCAUUCACCACCCCGUCGUCCGCGUCACAAGUCUGUCUUGCCGGGGACCGCUCUCUUUCUCUAUGAAAUUCUCCCCGUAGAGGUGCGUUACCUCUCUCACCACCAAAUCUCCCUGUGGUUUGACUUCUCCCCGCACUAUCGGGACCUGGUGCCACUCCACCGCCUCUCACCCUUCCCUCUUGAGUUACCCUUCGCUCGCUCCGUAGCUCAUGCAGGAUGGUUGUCAAGGUCUCCAUCUGCUUUUCCAUCCGUUCCAUCCGGUCGAACAUGACUUUUCCCGUGCUUCACUGACUAUCUCCCUCAGCGUCACGAAAUCGUUAAGCCUCAUAUCACCCCCUUGUGCACUACUUCCUCCUGUCUCCAUUGCUUUUUGCUUACUCCACCCCUCUUCUUGCUAUCAACAGAAGCUUUUUGCUCUGGGUCCCCACAGACGGCGCCAAAAUGUUGAUGCGAGAUUCCGGUUCUCCUCGUUCUACGACCAGGAUCUCUGCUCGAUCAACUUUACCACGACCAGGAGGUCUCCUAGUAAUGCUUCUUCUCCAGAUGUCCCUGCACACACAGACAAGUCAGAGUACGCCGGUUGUUCUCCCGGCGUAAACCCUCCGACGCUCAAGUCAGAUAUGAAGGUUCGGGGAACGCUUGCCACAGGUCUUAUGGCUUUUUCGUGGUUUUCUCUUUUAUCUUAAAAAUGCUAACCCUUUUACCUUCGUUGGCUACCUUUUUAUAGGCUUCUCCGAAUCCCCGUUUUCCGCUUUUUGCCAGACGGUAUGGGACUCUGACUGCUGCGUCAUGGGCGAAGGUGGGAUCUUGCGUGUUACGCCACGGUUCUGGGGAAAGCGUGGCUGUCGUGCCUAGAUUCUCGGGCUGGAGAGCAUGUCUUGCCAACUGCCGUCGACCGGGUCUCCUCGCUUCUCGACCUCUAGCCGGAAUGAUCUUAUGCCUCUUACAGGAAAUUGACCUCGCGGAUGACGUGCUCGUGGACGAGCAUGAUAUUUCUGCUCCUGUUCCCCCGCGCAUCAGGCUUUUACGGAACACACCGGCUCGAGGAACUCUGCCCCCAGAUAUCUGCUCACCAUGCCUGGUCUCGUCGACGUAUUUCUCCUAAACAUCUGCUAUAAUAGCAGUUGUAAAUAUAUGUGUAAUGCAGUAAUAUGAUGAUUAAUCAGUAUUCAAAACACAAUAAAAGUUUCGUACAGAUUUUGAUAUUGAGAGUAACACAAUAAAAGUUUCAUACAGAUUUUGCAAACGAAAAGCACAUAAUACACUUAACUAGGAGGAAAAAUUAAGGUGUAUUUAUUACAAAUUGCUAACAAUAUACAAUUGUAAAAAUCACUCUUAUGAACUCACAAAUACUAGGCAGCAAUAAGAGUAUGAUACAACCAUUCUAAAUGAAAGAGAAUACAACUGUUUUACAACUAUGUCACAUCAAGAGAUAUGUUAGCAGGAUUAAUCCAGAUACCUUCGAACCCAAUUAACGAACUCGAGUCAGAAACCAGGGGCCCCUAACUAAACCUUACAAUCUUGAAGGAAGAAGGAGACUCGUGGUCCAGAUAGGUGACUUACUAGAUCUCCUGCAAAAGAGAAUAUCUAUUGCUUUGAACCUCCAUUGAAAUUUUUUUUUCCCUUUUUCUUGUUUUGACUUGGAACUUUCCAACAUCAUCUAUUUGAUCUUUUUUUAAGGUAAAAUAGCAAUCUAUAGGUUGCCAACAUGUUAUUCUGCCAAACCCCACCCCACCCCCCCGGGGGACAACAAAUCGACCUAGCACACACCUUUCUUCAUUGCCCACACCUACAGAACUAUAAUAAAAAGACUACGUUACUAUUGGGGUAGAGAAAAUAUACAGACUGUAUUAUUAUUACAUCGCAUUUUACUAAUUAACUAGUGCAAGACUUCUUUAGUGUCAAAUCAAGAACUAAUUAGAAAAGACAACUCAUGAUAAUACAGACCUUAAUAAGCAAUUGCUAACAACAUCCCAUAUACUCCUAUUUUAGCCUUCAUUAUCCUGGUAAAAACACAAAUAAGUCUUGCAAACGAACAUUUAUAAGUAAAUUCAACAUUAAUUAAGAUUAGGUAUCUACUGCACCUAAUAGCAUGGUCAACCAUCUAGUUCCUGUAGCCUUCCAUGUACCUAUGUUAGUUACAUUUUACAUAUUAAGCCACGAAAACGAAGAAUCACAGCCUGGUAAAGAAAGACAUUAAUUAAUAGUUUUUGUUUAAAAAGUUCUCCUUUAGAUCUUUCCUAUUCAAUGAAUCAAUGUAAUCUAAAGAGAACUCUUCCAUUUCAAACAGUGUUAGAAGGUAUUUGCAAAGCCUAAAGAUAAUAUACAAGGACCAAGAUAUACACAGAUGGUUUCUUUAUGGAAUUAAAGAGCUUUAUAGAUGUUAAAACUGUUUCAAACAAUUUUUCUUGUUUGGUUUAACUAAGGAAAAGCUUGUGGAAGAUUAAAAAUGAUGUUUCCUAUUCUCUGUAGGAAACUUUUAGGAGAUUUUUUGGGCUUUUUUGAAAGGUUGAAUUGUCAAAAAUACCUUGAUGUUAUUGUUUGCUAAAAGAUGUUACGGACAUCUAAACAACCAACAACAUUUUGUUAAAAGCUCUACUAGUGUAGGAUCUACUUAAAGAAGCUAUACCAAACAGACUCUUAGACUGAAUAACUCGAUCUUAAGUUUGUAAAAUUGGGCUCAGAAUCUCCACUAACAACCCCGCUUCGGUGAGAAAGCCCAAGCCUGUUACUUUGUAUAACCUUAUUCUGUAUGUUUGAUUGCAGGAACUGGCCGAUCAUACCGACGAGGUGAGUGUGCAACAUGAGGUGCUUGACGGGAUGUUUACUUUCUAUGAUUCAACUAAAGCUAGCCUCAACAUAUAUCAGGUGCCUGCUUGUUUUUACCUUCUAGAUACUAAUAUUGUUUAGACGUGUAAUCUCUCUCUCCAUUGAACGCUAGACGGCUCGUCUCAAGCCUUCUACGUACUUCAGAGUCCUUCACUAGCUUUUUAUGUAUAAAGUUUUGAUCUUUUUCCUUCAUUUGCUUGAAGCUCAUUACUGCAGAUUUUUUUUACAGGUUGGUAGUGUAACAUUCGACUUGCUGUUGCUUCUAGUCUUGGGAUCGUAUUUAAUUGUGCUUUUCAGCUUUCUUGUCAUAACAACUAGGGUAUCACUCUUUCUCCAUAUCAAGCUUGAAGUUCUAAAUUUCAGUUUUAUCUUGUAUUUGAUGUUUUAUAAUUUCAUUGCAAACAGAUUAGAAUAGAAACUUCAAAAGUUCCAACUGACUAGUCCCGUGUAACUUUUUCAGGGAAGAUUUUCUCUCAUAACAACUACGAACGUGUUAUGGUUUAGCCCAGUGACACAAAGGACAGUUUUCAACAAUUGAUCCUAGGAAGAUGCCCAUAGCUUGUUGUGCCAAAAAUAGAAAAUCUAAGAUGCGAAAAAAUUUUGUUGAGAUUCAUUUUUCAUCCUGAUGUUACCGCUGGCCUUUUUUUUUUUUUUUUUUGGCAGAGAAUAAUGCUUAUGUGAUUUCUGAACUUGGUGAUUGUUGAAAUGAGCUGAAAAUGAGCUGGAAAUGUGUUUGGUUAAUGAGAAAGAGAGCAAGAAAAUGAAAGAAAUCUAUUUCACUUUUUAUUUAUCAGCAUGAUUACAUUCACAAUGAAUCUAAGCUGCUAUUUAUACUUAAAUGACUACACACGAGAAUCUUCUUGCUAGAUACUUCUAGAAACUCUACACGCACACUCACACUGAGCUAGUGGUUACCAAAACCGUUACAACGAUAUUGCCAGCUCAGCAUAACCAACUUAUAACUAACACACUCAGCUGCAGGGGAAACCAUCAAGCUUACUGUGCGUCCUCUGUAAUCAAGCUUCUUUAAGCAUGCUCUGCAGAUCAUACGUCUGAAUUAUCGAAACAAGAUGAAUUAUUUUUUGUUUAUUGCAGCAGGCGAUCAAUGAGCGGAAUUUCUAGCUUGUAUUCAAUUCGCGAACACAGUUUGAGAAGAAUCAGACCAUUAAUUUUCUUUUGAGCCAAUCAACAGAAUGUACAUUUCUUCUAAGAACUUGUAACCGAAACCGCAGUUUUUCAGGUUUGCUCCUUCCUCAUAGCAGUUAAUCAAACGAUAAACAGAGAUAUCCCAUGUCAACAAGAAGGUAAUCAUAAAAGAACAACAGAAUUGUUGCAACAUAUUCAUAUGAAAUGUAAAACAAUUUUGAGAAAAAAUAUUGGGAAGAUAUUUUUUUUUCAUAGAAGUUGCAAUCUUUACGUUAUUUACUAGUUUGACUAGACUAUAUAAGGAAGCUAUAUGAAAUUAGAAAAAUAAGCUAUACUAGGAAAGAAUAAAUAUGUGUACAGAAAAUUAGGCUAUAAUUUUCAAAUUAGAUGCCAGUUAAUUUUAUCAUAAUUAGAUGGUAAGAUUGCAAAUUCUGCAGCCAAAGGUGGUACGGAACUGAAUGAAGGAAAUCAAAUAUGAACAUGUUUUCAAUCUUAAAAUAUUAAGAGUAGCAUAAGUAACUUGUGAAACAGUUAUAAGUUCAAGGGAAUUAGAUGAUGGCAUGGUUGAAUUUUAUAAAUAUUUGAUAUUUUGGACCGAACAGGGCAAACAGAUGGAUCCAGAUAAUCAAGAAAAACAUCAAUUCCAUGCAACCAAAUGAGUCUAGUCAAAGAAAUUAUUCAAAGAAAUCUCUAGGUCAGUAUCCAAAUAUAUGGCUCCGUCCGUUCCACCACCACAACCAAAAAAAUCAGAUCCCCCCAUUUGGAUUCGAUUGAUUAAUUUGAGCAUAUAAAAUCGGGUUUUAAACUUCCCUAAUCAAAAUUUAUAUUCCACAGAAUCAGUUCCUUUAACAUGAUGCAUUACAUAAUAUUUUGUUUGCAAAAUAAAGAAGAAAGAUGACAUAAUAGAAACACGCUAUUGCAUCUUUUGAAAAAGAAAAACGGAAUAGUUUUCCAAAAUUAAUUCCGAGAAGAAGAUUAACUAAUAAUGAUGUUAGAAAUUUUAAUAUUUGAGUCUUAAUAUUAUGUAUCACUCAUUUAUUAAAUAAUAGAUUUCAUAAUUUGUAAAAUUACUUAACCACUUGAUAAAUGUUAUAUUUGUUGGGACUAAAUUGGAACUUAAAUGUUGGAAUAUCUAGUAUUGCAUUAAAAAAUAAAUAAAAACUUAACAAUUUAUCUUCACUUGACUAAUUGUUUUUACAUCACAACUAACCUUAAUUAUUUUGAAAGUUACAGUAUUAUUAAAUUGUCCUAACUGGUUAUCCAAAGUUGAAGCAUGUUAAAAUAAAAAAAAUUACUAAGAAACAUGUGCUUAAACAGAGGUUAAAGCUAUGAACAAUUAAGAAGAAACUCUUAAUUUGGUCCCAGUUAGUAUAAUAAUCAUCUAUUGAGCGGUAAAAUAUUAAUUUUAAUAGUGAUGAAAUCCAAUAAAUAAUAGAUUACUAACACACAUAAAUUAAAACUUAACUGUCUGAAAUCAUAACAUUACUCUACUCUUCAGUGGAGUUCUCUUAAACAGAUUAUGUGAGAUUGCCUACAUUAAAAAUAUGUUAAGACUGCUUGUUGAAAGCAAUAUUCGCUUUUCCAUUAUAUCCAUAACUUUGAAUUGAUAAAGUUGUAUUCAGCAGCUCUUGAAAAGACUAAUUUAUUUUAACUAGUCAUAGAAAUAAGAGAGAAAAGGGGCUAUUUCUUGACUCAAAGUCAAUUAUAAUUAUCAAAACUUGAGGGGACAUCGCAUGCCUAAAUUCCACGCACCCUAAUACGGUUUGAUUUGCUUUCACGCGUUCAUGAAUUUCCAUGAAAGAGCCUGCCUUUCGUCUCUUUCGGGACAGUGACUACAAUAAUGGAAAAAAUUAUAAUUCUCGUUAGAUUGUAACCAAAUUAUUAUCCCUAAUUUUUUUAAGUUACAUAUAAUAAAAUUCAUGCUUAAGUAUUUAGUAAUUAGAGAGAGAUAGAGAGGAUUGAGGGCCAAUGUUUCGCGAUUUGGGGUCAAUUCAAAGUCAACUAACGUGUAAAACACGUGUAUGCAUAGAAAACGCUUAGAUUAUUUGUGUUCCAAGAAAGAAAGAAGACCCAUCACCUUCUUCGUGACAACAAAUGAAUGAAUGAUGUUGAUAUGACAAAUACAAGCGCUAUUACAGGGAACAGCAUAAGAUCGAGACUUGAUAAAGGGUUUGUUAAAUUACAUGUUAUUUUCUUUUGACUUGAAUGAUGUUGAAGAGAAAAAUCAAAUAACAUUGUAAUCAGGGUGAUGUGUGGAAUAUAGUGAAAUAAAUAAAUAGAGAAGAGAAAUUCGUUGAUCAAUAUUCAAGAACUCAUCCAAAGUGAUCGUCAAAGUCUAGAGGUUCGGUAUGAUUAGCAUUUAUUAUUAUUUUUUUUGGCUUAACAUCAUAUAUAGUCACCUGUCGUGUGAUCUAGAACAGGUUUAGAAAUCCUUUUAUUUUAACUUCCGUAUUCUUAUUAUUUAAUUAGUUAUAGGGUUCUUCAGUAUUUGAGUAUUGAUCACAUGUCUCCUAAUCUAAAAAUAUGUUUUUACGAGUACAAAUAACAAACUAGGAUUUUAACAGCCUUUUAUACUAAACCCUAAAAAUACAUGAAUUUAUCAAAAUAAGUAAAUUAAUUUAAAUUGGUAUGGCAUAAUAAAAGUUUUACCUGCCGAAACAAAUUAAAAAAAUAUUACACUUAAAUCAAAUAUUGACAAAAAUAGAUAACAAUCUAAUGAGAAUCUUAACUAGAUAUUUUUACUUCUAUCCAAUUUAACUGGAACGAGAAUUAAGUCCUUUCAAUAGUUAGGACUCAUAACUCAUACACGCUAGUUUGAGAGUGUGGGGUGUGACAAUGGGCCAAAAGACCAUUGACAAGUACAAAAGAGUGGUCGCAAUUAAUUCAAACCGCUACACACGCUAUUGCGUCUUUUAAAAAAAAAAUGGAAUAGUUUUCCAAAAUUAAUUCAGAGAAGAAGAUUUACUAAUAAUGAUGUUAGAAAUCUUAAUAUUUGAAUCUUAAUAUUAUGUAUCACUCAUUUAUUAAAUAAUAGAUUUCAUAGUUUGUAAAUUUACUUAACCACUUGAUAAGUGUUAUAUUUGUUGGGACUAAAUUGGGACUUAGAUGUUGGAAUAUCAAGUAUUGCAUAAAAAUAAAAAAUAAAAACUUAACAAUUUAUCUUCACAUGACUAAUUGUUUUUACAUCACAACUAACCUUAGUUAUUUUUUAAAGUUAUAGUAUUAUUAAAUUGCCCUAACUGGUUAUCAAAAGAUGAAAGCAUGUUAAAAUAAGAAAUUACUAAGAAACAUGUGCUUAAACAGAGGUUAAGGCUACGAACAAUUAAGAAGAAACAACUUACAAUCAAAGGUUAAGAUUAUGAACAAAUUAAGGAAGGUAUUGAGCAGAUAAAGGGACGAAAUCAUUGUCUGAAUUGCCGGUGACAAGAAUGCUUGUGUUGUGAAAAGAAACCUGAUGGUUUGUAAAUGGGUUGAAUUUUUUAUUCGGUCGCUCCAACUGACUUACUAAUGCCAAAUUUAUUACUUUGCACAGUAGUGUUUAGGAUCCUCAAGAUCAACUCUUAAUUUGGUCCCAAUUAGUGUAGAAAUCAUCUAUUGAGCAAUAGAAUAAGAAUUUUUCUAGUCAUGAAAUUCAAUAUAUAAUAUAUCCUUGACACACAUCGAUUAUAACUUAACUGUUAGAAUUCAUAACAUUACUCUACUCUCAAGGGGAGUUCUCUUAACAUAUUAUGUUAGGUUGCCUACAUUCAAAAUAUGUUAGGCUGCUCUUUGAAAACAAUAUUCCUUUUUCCGUAACUUUGAAUUGAUCCAAUAGCUCUUGAAAAGCACAUAAUAAUCAUUAUAAAUUUAAUCAAAGACUAAGCAGGUCUUCUUUCCAUUUGAUCACUCGCAUUUCAGUUAAGUUUGUCGUUUACUUAAAUUUUUCUUGCUUUCAAUUUCCACUGUUGUUUUUUUUUAUAUAAAAUAAUUUAUUUAAACUAGUCAUAGAAAUAAGAGAGAAAGGGCGCCAUUUCUUGACUCAAAGUGAAUUAUAAUUAUCAAAACUUGAGCGGACAUUGCAUGCCUAAAUUCCACGCACGCUAAAACGGUUUGAUUUGCUUUCACGCGUUCAUGAUUUUCCAUGAAAGAGAGUGCCUCUCGUCUCUUUCCGGACAGUGACUGCAAUUAUGUUAACGUGACGAAUACAAAACGUUAUUACAUACAAGAAUAAGUUUUUGGACCCGAGACUUGAGGGAGGUUCUAUCUAAUUCUAAAGAUUGUAACCAAAUCAUUAUCCCCAAAUUUUUUCAGUUAAAUAAAAUAAAAUUUAUGCUUAAGUAUAAAUAAUUUUUUAAAGUUAAAUAUAAAAUAAAAAAAUUCAUGAACUUCCUAGAAAGAAAGAAGACCCUUCACCUUCUUCGCGACAACAAAUGAUGUUGACAUGACAAAUACAAGCUCUAUUACAGGGAACAGCAUAAGACCGAGACUUGAUAAAUAUUAAAUAUAUAAAAUAAGUGGAGCAAACGAACAGAAUAAUAGAUAUUUUAUAAUAUUCUUCAUAAAAAUCCAUGUUUUGAGCCUGCCUAUAAGCUUAUCUAGUGAAGUCUGGGUAUCCGCGUUGCCCAAGGUUCCGUUUGAAUCCAGGCCGUGUAGAUGUUUAAGACAUCGCAUAUGGACGGAGUGGAAAUAUUUUCAGUUGACUGAAUUAAAUAAAAAUAUAUUACAAUCAUAUUAUAUAUUAGCAGCAAAAAUAAAAAGAAAUGAAGAAAAACGCAUGCAAGACUUAGACAAGUCAAUUAAAAGCUGGGAGUAUCAUCAGUUCAAUUGGUUAUAAAUAGCGUAGAGCCAUCCUCUCGUUGUUGCAGAACUGAAGCAAAGAGACUCAGAAAGAGUGUGUGUAGGUGAUUAUAAUUAAGAAGAUAUAAUGUGUGGUUCAAAAAGAGUGUGGGUGAGUGAGUUAAUUUUCAUAUUAUUAGUAGUAAAAGGGUGGUGGAGUGAGGGAUGUUUGGAGCAAGAGAGGUCUGCUCUCCUACAACUCAGACAUUUCUUCAAUGAUGAUCAACUUCUUCAAAACUGGGUAGACGAUGAGAAUUAUUCAGAUUGUUGUCAGUGGGAAGGGGUUGAGUGCAAUAACACCACUGGCAGAGUGAUUGAAUUAUAUCUAGGAUAUACUCGGAAAUGGGAAUCAGCAGAGUGGCAUAUGAAUGCUUCUCUGUUUACUCCCUUUCAACAAUUAGAGUCUCUUGAUUUAAGUUGGAACAAUAUAGCCGGUUGUGUUGAAAAUGAAGGUCCUUAAUUUACUUUAUUUUAAUUCUUCCUCCUCGUAAUUUCUUACAUCUAUCUGAUCCCUUUUGGCUUUUGUUUAAUUUGUACGUGAUACAAUAAAAUUACUUUUUAUUUUUUGUCAGGUCUAGAUAGGUUAUCAAGGUUGAAGUUUCUUUAUUUAGACUAUAACUGCUUCAACAACAGCAUCGUUUCAUCUCUAGGUGGUCUUUCAUCACUCAGAAACUUAUCAUUGGCUGGUAAUGAAUUGGAUGGAAGUAUUGAUAUUAAAAGUAAGUACGCUUCAACCCUUCUCCCCUGUCCCAUCUUUUGUAGAUCUUAUUUCACUGAGCAGCUGGAAGUAUUGAUACGAGAUCUAGCUAGACUCUUGUGAGUUUAGGCUUCAAGGCUUUGAAUAUUAUAAAAAUAAGUUAAAGAAAUUAUCGAUAUAUGCAAUUUUCAAUGCUUCUCAUAAUCAGACACAAUUCAAUCUAAUUAUUUCGUAUGUCCUGUCUUCAAAAGUAAAGAAUUGUACACUAAUUGGAAAUCGACAUCGUAGCUUUUUAUUUUCUAUAAUGCUCUUUUUUCGUUAACGAGUUUAUAUCCUAAGAGGGAUUGGAUUGAAAAAAAAAAAGUUUUGAUGUUCAAUGUAAGCCAUGAUAACCUGCAUCUUAUUUGUCUGCCGACAUCCAAAUUUGUGCACUGAAUUUAGUAUUUUGGUUAUUGUGAAGGGAUCAGAUAUUGGCUUCCAUAGACCAACUUGUAUUUACUUAAUUAAUUAAUUAACGACAUUUAGUAUUUAACAAAUUAAAAUUUCAUGUUUAAUCGAUUUUAAUUUUUUUAAGAAAAAAGAAAAAGAUAUAACAGCAUGUAAAGCUGAAAUAAAUUUUAAUUCCUUACAAAUUUAAAUUCAUGGUUGUCAGCUAAAUAUACCUGCUUAAAGCCACUCUUUUCGCUGAGAUUUAACCAAAAAAAAAAGGAGAAAAUAAUUUAUUUAAUUAACUCUGUUUUAAGUGUUGGAAUAAAUACAGGACUGGAAUCCUUGAGUAACUUGGAGAUGCUGGACAUGAGGGACAAUGCAAUCGACAAUCUAGUGGUUCCUAAAGGUAUACAAAAUGACACUAACCCAAAAUAAUUUAAUCCGAAAUUGUAUCCCAAAUAGAUUACAGAGGUUUGAGGAAGUUGGAUACCCUUUAUUUGGGGGGGAAGGGAAAUUGCAGUGAUAUAUGGAAGCAAGGUGUUGCAAUCAAUAAAGAAAUUCAUAGGGUCAAUAUUAAAGGACUCUCCUCCAACUCAAACAUUUCUCAAAUAGAUUAUUUAAUCUGAAAUAGUAUCUCAAAUAGAUUAUAGAGGUUUGAGGAAGUUGAAUACCUUUUAUUUGGGGGGGAAGGGAAAUUGCAGUGAUAUAUGGAAGCAAGGUGUUGCAAUCAAUAAAGAAAUUCGUUGGUCAAUAUUCAAGACUCAUCCAAAGUGAUCGUUAAAGUCUAGAGGUCUGCUCUCCUCCAACUCAAACAUUUCUUCAAUGAUGAGAAUUAUUCAGAUUAUGGUCAGUGGGAAGCGGUUGAGUGCAACAACACCACUGGCAGAGUGAUUAAAUUAGAUCUAGGAGCCACUAGGAAUCGGGAAUCAUCAGAGUGGCAUAUGAAUGCUUCUUUGUUUACUCCCUUUCAACAAUUAGAGUCUCUUCAUCUAAUUGGGAACAAUAUAGCCGAUUGUGUUAAAAAUGAAGGUCCUUAAUUUACUCUAUUUUAGUUCUUCCUCGUAAUUUCUUACAUUUAUCUGAUCCCUUUUGGCUUUUGUUUAAUUUGUACGUGAUACAAUAAAAUUAUUUUUUAUUUUUUGGCAGGUCUAGAGAGGCUAUCAAGGUUGACCAACUUGAAGUUUCUUCAUUUAGACUAUAACUGCUUCAACAACAGCAUCUUUUCAUCUCUGGUUGGUCUUUCAUCACUCAAACGCUUAUCAUUGGCUAGUAAUGAAUUGAAUGGAAGUAUUGAUAUUGAAGGUGAGUAAGCUUCAUCCCUUCUCCCGUGUCCCAUCUUUUGUGGAUCUUAUCUCAUUGACGGGUUGGAAGUAUUGAUACGAGAUCUAGCUAGACUCUUGCUAGUUUAGGCUUCAAGGCUUUGAAUAUUAUAAAAAUAGGAUUAAGAAAAUAUCAAUAAAUGCAAAUUUCAAUGCUUCUCGUAAUCAGACACAAUUAAAUCUAAUUAUUUUGUAUGUCCUGUCUUCAAAAGAAAAGAAUUGUACACUAAAUGGAAAUCGACAUUAUUGUUUGCUUUUGAUUAGUGGAUCAAAAAUCGACUAAUUUUGAUUUAACAUAAAAAUAAAAAAGAGAAAAUAAGUUAUUUAAUUAACCCUGUUUUAAGUGUUGGCAUAAAUGCAGGACUGAAUUCCUUGAGUAACUUGGAGGAGCUGGACAUGAGCGACAAUGCAAUCGACAAUCUUGUGGUUCCUAAAGGUAUACAAAAUGUUCAAAUAUUAAUAAUUUGGAGGACAGUUUAAUUGAUUUGAUUAGGGAAUGCCCAAUGACACUUACCCAAAAUAAUUUAAUCUGUAAUUGUAUCCAAAACAGAUUUCAGAGGUUUGAGGAAGUUGAAUACCCUUCGUAUAGGGGGAAGCAGAAUUCGAAUGAUAGAUGGAAGCAAGGUGUUGCAAUCAAUAGGAUCACUACCGUCCCUCAAAACACUUGACCUUUGGUAUACUAAUUUUACGGGAACAGUAGUUAAUCAAGGUAAGUAAAUCUUUUAUGUCGAAAAUAAUUGAAUUAAUAUAUAUAGCUAAAAUUUAUUGUUUCUACUUCUUUCUAAAUAGAGUUGCACAAUUUCACCAACUUGGAAGAAUUGAUAUUGCUCGGGUCUCAUCUCCACGUAAGCCAGCUUCUGCAAAGCAUCGCAUCAUUCACUUCGUUAAAGAAUUUGUCAAUGCCAGUUUGUACCCUUACAGGUGCCGUACAUGGUCAAGGUAAAUUACGGGUAUCUGAAGCUUUUAUGAUAUUAAUUCGAUAAUAAUUCUUUCUUUUCAAGUUAAUUUUCUCCCGUAAAAUAAUAUUUUUUUCUUUUAAAUUUUAUAUAUUUUCACCGUCCAAUAGAAGAGUAAAGAAAAAUAAGUAAAUUAACCCAAAAAAAAGAAAAGAACAAGACCGGAUUAUCCUUAUUCCCUUGCAUUAUGCGAUCAAUAUCAAAAUUAUAACCAUUUCUUGUUUAUUGCUUGUAGAUUUUCGUAAAUUCAAGAAUUUGGAACAUCUGGACAUGGGUGGGGUGCAAGUUGAUGUCAACACCAGUUUUCUUCAAAUUGUCGGCGAAUCAAUGCCUUCUCUUAAGUUUUUAUCACUGGCAGAUUCAAGUCUUAAUAAAAACACCAUUCUUGAUCAAGGUUAAUUAAUGAUUCUCAUUCUCCCUCUCUCGCAUCAUAACUAAAUUUAAUGGAGAAUAUCUAUAAUGCGAGCUAUUUAUAAACUUAAUGAAAGAUGAUAAGGAGCCAUAAUAAUGACAAAAAUAAUUGUAAAAUAGUGCACUGUUGUAGUGUUGAUUGAAAAAUAAUGCUAAUGUUUUACCUAACAACACUAUAACGUCGGAUAAUUUUUAAUAUGUACUUUAAACUAUCAGUACUCAAACUAUCAGUACUCAAACUUAAUUUUUAAUAUGUACUUUAAAGAUUUUAUGCAAUUAUUUAAGUUUUAUGCAAUUAUAUUUUUCAGGACUUUGUCGGUUAGUGCAUCUGCAAGAGUUAUACAUCAGCAGUAAUGAUUUGAGAGGUAGCUUGCCAUGGUGCUUGGCAAAUUUGACUUCCCUUCGAGUAUUAGAUGUCUCUUACAAUCAACUAACUGAAAACAUCUCCUCAUCUCCCCUCAUGCAUCUAACAUCUAUCGAAGAGCUCAUACUUUCAAAUAAUCACUUCUUCCAAAUCCCUAUUUCACUUGAACCACUUUUCAAUCUCUCAAAACUCAAGACUUUCGAUGGUGAAAUAUGCGCAGAAACUGAGUCACAUUAUAAUUCUUUGACCCCAAAAUUCCAACUGACUUCUAUCUCACUGUCUGGUUACAUAGAUGGUGGCACAUUUCCCAAAUUCUUGUACCAUCAGCAUGACUUGAAGAAUGCUGAUCUCUCACACCUUAACUUGAGUGGAGAAUUUCCAAAUUGGUUGCUAGAAAACAAUACAAACUUAGAGACGCUUCUUCUUGCCAACAACUCUCUUUUUGGAUCAUUUCGGAUGCCAAUUCAUUCCCACCAGAAUUUAGCAACAUUGGAUGUCUCUAAAAAUUUCUUUCAAGGCCAUAUUUCGGUGGAAAUCGGAACAUAUCUGCCAGGUUUAAUGGAUUUAAACUUAUCUAGAAAUGCUUUCAACGGUAGCAUUCCCUCUUCAUUUGCUGAUAUGAAAAUGUUGGAAAGGUUGGACAUAUCCUACAAUCAGUUGACUGGUGAAAUCCCAGAGCGCAUGGCCACAGGUUGCUUCUCAUUAGAAAUUCUUGCAUUGUCAAACAACAGUUUGCAAGGUCAUAUAUUCUCUAAAAAAUUUAGCUUGACAAAUUUGACGACGUUGCAGUUGGAUGGUAAUAAAUUCGCUGGAGAGAUCCCAGAAAGCUUAUCUAAGUGCUAUUUGUUAGAAGGAUUAUAUCUGAGUGAUAAUCAUCUCACUGGUGAGAUUCCAAGAUGGUUGGGUAAUUUGUCAGCUUUGGAAGAUAUUAUAAUGCCCAAUAACAAUCUUGGAGGGCCAAUUCCAAUCGAGUUUUGUCAGCUUGAUUCUCUGAAGAUUUUAGACCUUUCAAACAAUAGUAUUUUCGGAACCUUACCAUCUUGCCUUAGUCCAGGAUCUAUUGAACAACUUCAUUUGUCAAAAAACAAGAUAGAAGGACGAUUGGAAAGUAUAAUCCAUGACAGCCCUUAUUUGGUGACAUUAGAUCUUAGUUAUAACAGCUUACACGGAAGUAUUCCAAAUCGGAUUGACAGACUACCUAAGUUAAACUACCUUCUUUUGGCUAAUAAUUAUAUUGAAGGCGAAAUACCAGUUCAAUUAUGCCAUUUGAAGGAAGUGCGGUUGAUUGAUCUUUCUCAUAAUAAUCUAUCUGGUCAUAUUCCUCCUUGCUUGGUUAACACUUCACUCAGUGAAGGUCAUCAUGAGGCAGUAGCUCCAACUCCAAGUGGAUCUUCGAUGGGAAAGGAAGAAACUGUACAGUUCACAACAAAGAAUAUGUCCUACUAUUAUCAAGGAAGAAUUUUGACGAGUAUGUCUGGGAUUGAUCUUUCUUGUAACAAACUGACAGGUGAGAUUCCUACUCAAAUUGGAUAUCUUACUAGGAUUCAUGCACUAAAUCUAUCUCAUAACAAUUUGACGGGCACAAUCCCGACAACAUUUUCAAACCUGAAGCAAAUCGAAAGCUUGGACCUCUCCUACAACCUACUGCAUGGGAAAAUCCCUUCUCAGCUCACCGUGCUAACUACAUUGGCGGUCUUCACAGUAGCAUACAAUAACUUAUCAGGCAAAAUCCCAGAUAGAGUCGCACAAUUUUCAACUUUUGAGGAAGAUAGCUAUGAGGGGAAUCCUUUUCUUUGUGGAUGGCCACUGUCUAAAAGUUGCAAUGAUAGUGGAUUAUCAGCAGUGACACCAGAAGCUUACACUGAUAAUGAAGAAGGUGAUAGUUUAAUUGACAUGGACAGUUUCCUGAUCACUUUUACAGUAUCUUAUGGAAUUGUGAUAUUAGGAAUUAUUGGAGUUUUGUACGUAAACCCCUAUUGGCGGCGAAGAUGGUUUUACCUUGUUGAAGUGUGUAUGACCUCUUGCUACUAUUUUGUGGCAGACAAUCUUGUUCCUAGAAGAUUCUAUGGUGGAUGGAUGUAAUUUCAUUUACUUUACAACUUAUAUGUUAUUUUUAAAGAAUUUUCUUUUGCAUGCAUGGAAUAGCAACUCAAUAAAAGUAUUUGAUGCAAAUUGUCCAAGAACAACUUAGUAAUUUCAUUGCUACUAUUCGGUUGUAUAUAUACAGUUAAUGAAAUUUUUAAUCAUUCGCAGUAGGAAUUUCUUUAAAUGGCGGCCAAAACCAACAGAUUUGGGGCUCUACCUCUACACAUCAUAACAGGCAAAAGGUCUCUCUUUUACACUAUCUGAAUGAAGAUUAGCUUACGCCCCUGGAGUUCUCUAUUAAACUUGACGGUUGAGAUUUCAGGUCCAGAUGAAAGUUAAAUGCAGGCGACGAGACUACACUUUAAGUAAACUGGGACAAACUUAAAAUAAAUAAAAAUUAUAGUCCAGGGUAAGAGUAAUGGGUAGCUCAACUUAUGGAGUAUAACUAGGACUUGGAAUAACUAUCAGAUUUGCAACUCUUGUUAUAUGCUUGGGAGUUACAGUAAUCGAUUCAUUUCCUCCAUUUCUGAUGGUAACCCAGCUCUAUACAAGAACAAUCAGAGAAGGUUCAUUUAAGAAAUUUCACAACCCACGCUUUUUUUUCCUUUUUGCCCUCUUCCUCACAAUAAAAACACCUAACACACCAAGCCGUGCACAAAAUAGUCCUAUUUUAUUCAUGUCAUGAAUCCAAAAACUAUCCCAGCUCACUUUGUUUAACCAGCAUAACUAAAUUGUGGGUAUAAAUGAACACACUUUCGAAGCCUGUAACUUAUAAUAAGCUCAAACCCAAAAAUGACAUUUAAAUCCUGCAAGUGUUUUUCAUCAUCCCUAACAAAAAGAAACAAGAAUAAUUAUAUACCAAUAAUUUUUCCAUAAAAAAUACUGAUACCAAUAAUUUUUCCAUAAAAAAUACUGAUUUGAGUUGAAACACUAUACAAACUGGGUUUUAUACACUUGCAGAAAGCUACACGAUAGACAAAAUCUAGCAGCUACAUAAUGGUAUCACUUUCAGCUGGUCAUGAAUGGUGUGCAUUCAGCAGUGCUCGAUAGACCAUGUCUAUGAAUUGAUUGUCCUAUUACAUAUAAAAGCUGGUCAGCUAUACAAGGAAAAAAAUAAUAAUUGAAAAUGCAUCACAAAAAAUAAGUGUCUCGCAUUAGUGUUUGCACUCUAAGCAUGGCAAAGUGGUGCGGGUUCAUGAUUUUGAAGACUGGGAUAAGUGAAAAAUAGUUCAAUCCACUGAUGAACAUAAAUUUAUUUACAUGUCAAUUUAGAUAUCAUAAAAAAGUAAACAGUAAUUCACAGUCACUUAAAAGAGUUGAUAAAAUGCGUGCCGUGAAUGCAUUUUUGUACAUAAGAAAUCCAAAGAGUAUUUCUGACAAUACAAAUAUGCUAGCUUUAAAUCUGCUGUCAAUAUGCAAUUAAGAAGAUUAUACCAGCUGCAUGAUAAAGUUCCCCUAAUCUUAAUAACAGUAAACAUGAACAUGUCAGAUGCAAUUAUAGCUUCGAGCAUUUGCAUAACCAGAAAUCCUAACCUGAACAAGCACCAGAAGUGUCUCUCGGACUUUCUCCUUGUUGAUAAAUGGUCCGCUGUUUGAAGUAAGAGCAGGAGUAAGAGAUGGUGGAGGGGUUGGUAGUGGAAAAGGUUGAAGCAUUGGGGCACCAUAUGGGCGUUGCAGACUCAGGGGAGGAUUAAGUGGCGGAGCUGUUGGUGUAGAUGAAGAGACAAGCUGCAUCAUCUGUGCAUAGGAGGAUGGAGGAGGAACAAAGAAUAAGGAAGGCUUUACAAGAUUAGGGGUAGGUGCUGACAGAGGUGGAGAUGGUAUUUGCAAGGUUGGCACGAUAGGAGAAGCAACACUGGCGGGAUGAGAAGGUAAAGAAAUAGUUGUAUUGGACUGGUAAGGUUGUGCAGAGAUUGCUGCAUUAGAAGUAUUCCCCACAGUCAAAGCUGUCUGCAAUGAUAAGGACAGAUGUCAUAUACAAGGACAAGUGAUAACAUAUGAAAAUAGUAUGACUUGCUGCAGUUUUGUGGUAAUGUUGCAUACUUAUGCAGAAACAUAUUAUUUCAAAGAAAACAUACACUGAAGUAGUUCACAAAAGCAGGAUCUUCAGGAACAUCAGCAGCAUUUGAGGGAGUUGACUCUAGAGGACCAUCCAUAACUGCCAUAGUUGGAACAGCUUCCAGUUCCUCAAACUCACUGCAGUUUAACAUAAAAGGAACUUGAUGACCAAUUUAAGUAAUAAUUAGAUGAUAUAAGAGGUUAGGGAAAAUGAUGAGUGGACCCUUAUGGAAGGUGAUUUCACCUUAGCUAAACACGAAAAUAAAAAGAAAUCAAAGCUGAAUCCUCGAGUGCAAUGCAAAGAAUUUUUUCUCGCUCUUCUCUAACUCCUCUUAUUCGAAAUUGCUCAUCAUUGUGCUGUUCUUCGAGUUUUCGCUAGAGUAGAGAAAGCUAUUCUCUCGUUAAGUGCAGAGGAAAGAGAAGGGCAAGGGCCUGGUAUGAUGCUAUUCUAUAGGAAGUGAGAAGGUGAAGGGUUAAAAUAUUUUGUAAUUUGGAGGUGGUGUUUGUUAGUGUGUGUGUACUUCUGAAUUUAUUACCUCUUUAGGAUCCAUAGAAAUUGCCUCUUGUUCAGCAUGCACUGUGCCUACGAGUAAGACGAGCUUGCAUGGUAUCUAUUGUCUAUUUACUUGGAUAUUCAAACAUGACUACCAGCCACCAAACACAAAUCCCCAAACAAAACACUCUUUCAAGUGCAAGGAAAGAGUAACUUGGGCAUAUUUAUAGUUCAAGCACUACAAUAACUAAGAAUGUGAUGACUGUCCACAAACACUAUAUCAGUGCCUUUUGAACUACAUUACAUGCUCGAAGACUUUUUUUUUAGUCAUACAUAAAUUAGCUAUAAAAUUAAGACCGUUAUACAACUAAAAAGAAAGAAAAAUUGUUUGCUACUACAUAUCAAAACUGGUAAUAGCAAUGUAAGAUGGCAGACUUCUUACUUAAACAGAUGAGAGGCUACAAAUAAAAAAUUUGUGCAAAUAAAAUAUAUGAUAGAGAGCAUAAUACUUUCUUGGGGGCUAAAAAUAAUAUACAACUUGUGAAAUAUAAAUUGAGCUACCAUUACCUUUUAGAUGUGGCAACUUUCGACUUUUGAGGCACCUUGGAAUAUGCAUUCAGAAUCCUGCAUUUGGAAGCCAAAUAAAUAAUGUUAAUAACAAUUUUACAAUAGAAAAAUUAAAAAUUGAUAAAUGGCAGUUGUAAUUUAUGUAUGCGUAAAGAUAGCUUCACAUCCAGGGUCCUCCCAUAAACAUGCUUGUAACAAGAAUUAGUUUGUCCAACUGUUAGCAACUGCUAACAAUAUACAAUAGUAAAAAUCACUCUCAUGAACUCAACAAUACUAGGCACCAAUAAGAGUAUGAUACAGCCAUUCUAAAAUGGAAGAGAAUACAACUGUUUUACAACUAUGUUGCAUCAGGAGAUAUGUUAGGAGGAUUAAUCCAGAUACCUUCCAACCCAAUUAGGAAAACUCGAGUCAGAAACCAGGAGCCGCAACCGAACCUUACAAUCUUGAAGGAAGAAGGAGACUUGGGGCAUUUUUCCAGAUAGGUGACUUACUAGAUCUCCUGCCAAGAGAAUAUCUAUUGCUUUGAACCUCCAUUGAAAUUUCUUUUCCCUUUUUCUUGUUUUGGCUUGGAACUUUCCAGCAUCAUCUAUUUGAUCUUUUUUAAAGCUAAAAAAGCAAUCUAUGGGUUGUGAACAUCUUAUCACCACCCCCCCCCCCCCCCCGGGCCCCCAAAAAAAAAUCAAUGAGUUGUCAAUAAAUAGCGCCUACUCAAAUGUUUUCCAAUGGAUGACAAUGUGCAAAUCGACCUAGCAGCCACAUUUUUCCCCCCUUUCAACCACCAUUAGGCAACUUUUCUAACCUUUCUUCAUUGCCCACGUGUACAGAACUAUCAUAUAAAGACUACAUUAUUAUUGGGAUGGAGAAAAAUAUACAGACUAUAUUAUUAUAUCUCAUUUUAUUAAUUAACUAGUGCAAGACUUAUUUAGUGUCAAAUCAAGAACUAAUUGGAAAAGACAACUCAUGAUAAUACAGACCUUAAAAAGCAAUAGCUAGCAACACCUCAUAUACUCCUAUUUUAGCCUUUAAUAUCCUGGUAAAAACACAAUUAAGUCUUGCAAAAGAACAUUCACAAGUAAAUUCAACAUUAAUUAAGAUUAAGUAUCUACUGCACCUUCAAUCAAUGACUGGGUGAAUAGCAUGGUCAACCAUCUAGUUCCUGUAGCCCUCCUUGUACCUAUGUUGGUUACAUUUUACAUAUUCAGCCACGAAAAUGAAGGAUCACAGCCUGGUAAAGAAAGCCAUUAAUUAAUAGUGUUUGUUUAAAAAGUUCUCGUUUAGAUCUUUCCUAUUCAAUGAAUCAAUGUAAUCCAUGGAGAACUCUUCCAUUUCAAGCAGUGUUAGAAGAUAAUUGGAAAGCCUAAAGAUAGUAUACAAGGACCAAGAUAUCGAUUAGGUCAAAUAGUGAAUGUCAAAUAUAAAAAAUAAAUAAAAGAAGUUGUACAUGAUCAUUUACUAUCAAGUUCUGUAAAAUUGAAAAUACCAUUAUCACUGUAGAGAUUCUCAAACAACUCUUUAGCAAAUUAUAAAAUAGUUAAAAAAAGAACAAAAGUUUUUUUUUAAAAAAAGAAGAACAUCCAUAUCAGGAGAUGUUUUUCUUCUCAAUCUCAAUAUUUUCUAGCCGUGAAGCAAUUGAAAAGCUUAACACUAAGUGAAUUAUUAAGAAUUCAUCAUUUAAAUUCCCAAAUCGCAAAAUGUUGGUGCAACUAGGAAAGUGCAAAUGCAAUCACUUAACUAACACAAGAAACACCAAUAGUGAGAGCCCACUUUGUAUCAAAUUUGAAACAGAUAGAGGUCAAAAAAAUUAUACACUCAAUUAAAAGCCUUUCAAACAGCUUUUGCAUGGAACAAGAACAAAUCAAAGGCAAUGUGAAUGUAUUCAAAGACUAAUUUACAAUGAUCUACAGGACAUAAAUAUCUUGGAUACCUACUCUCUAUACCUUACUGUCCCACUAGAAAUCAUCAAAUCCCUCCAAACAAAAAUGACAAAAUGGAUAAGAAUUGUGUCGUUAAACUUCAAUAACUUAGCAGCCACAGCAAAAACUUAUGUAGGCACGCAAGCCACUCAAAAUAGUCAUAUUUUUUGCUUUCCAAACAAAAGCCACUUUGUAAUGAAUAUUCAUAAAUUGCUACUAUCAUGUUUGUUAAAACACGUGAAAACCACCAUAACUAACUAAAUGUAACUGAUGAUCAUCAUCAAGUUCAUGGAAUCACAUAUCUGACAGUAUUAAUUAGUGCAAAUGGCAUGCUUCUUAAAACUCCGUAUUUAUCACAUGGGCGCCAUUCCAAUCAACCAAUGAUUCUGAUCUAGUCGGCAUAUUCAACCCACGAGCGAGUAAUACCUCCUAUUGCUUCUUUACAUUUCUCAACGAAAUUCCACAUUCUAACCAUACUUCUGAACAUGUUGCUCCCAUAGACUAAUACAAUAUAAAGAUUUCUUCCCACACCACCUCAGCCCACACUCCUGAAAAACCAAUUUAAAUUCUCAUUGGCUGUACAACCUAUAGUCCAUACCAAAUUGAAAAAUUUACAAAUAUAGAACCUCAAAGAAUCUUCUUGUGUUCCAUUUUUUACGGCAAGAAAUUUGACUUUUACCACAUGCAAGUCAACAAAUAAAAAAAUCAUGUCUUUGUGAGAUGCACAUUUUCAGAUGAAUCUAAAGAGCAAUGAAACCGUAAAAACCGAAUAUCAGAACACCGAGGACUCCAGAUAUCACCUAUAGAAUCUUUGGUCCACACUUGCACGAUGAAAAUGAUGAAAAACAAUUGAAGGCUUCAUCACCAGCUCCCCAGGUUGUUUUGUUCUCCUAUCUCCUAAAUAUAAAGGAAACGCAACCCGUUCUUUUUUCCAAUCUUAAGGGGCACAAAACGACUCUGGUAUAAAAUAGUCAGUUUCUAUACAAAAAUAACUCCUUUGCACUUGGCAUUGCACAUCUCGAAAUAAAAAGCAUGCUAGAAAGAGAAUAUAAUAGCAUUAAACAAGUUUUAUUAACCAAACUUCAUGCCACACAAGGCAAAAAAGGAAUCUGUACAUGCCAGAUUCCAAGAAUAAUAAUUCCAAUAUACAAUUCAGGAAAACAAUAACUAAAACUAGGUUCACGAGGCCUCGGCAGAAGCAACAUGUAAUAACCAUACUCUAUUAUUUGAAACACAUUUCUAAGUUUGGUUAAGAUUCUAAACUAUUCUCUGUGUCAAUUAUUAACAUGUAAAACAUAAUAAUAUACACUUAAACUACUACACAAACUACUACAGUAGUAAAACCAGUAAAACAACAAUACCUGUUGAAAAGAUUUGCUACCUCUUCACAUUCACGAGCAUUGUAGAACCAAAUCCCAUUUACUUCUUGGGAUGCAUUUCGAUAUAACAAAUACAGAACCUGAACUUCAAACUCAAAAUCUCCCAAAAGAUUUUCCACUAAAUUAUCUGCACAUAUACAAGAUAUUGAAGCUUAUCAGUGCAAAAACAUAUACAAAAAGACAUGAAGGUUAGAAGACAUAACUAAAACUUAGCAACAACUGAUAAGCACAACAAGACAUGAAAUAUAACACUAGUUGUAAACAAGAUAGACACAUGGUAUCUAAAAAAUUGUACCAACCCCCUCUCCUGAUUGUCAUAAAACGGCCAAUAUUUAACCCUAGACAACAAAAUUGCAAAUACUCUAGCCUCUAUAUUAUUGGCAUAUAAAUAUUUUAGGUUAGGUACGUUAUAUUCUUCGUUCUAAAACCUCAAUUAUUAGCUAGUACUGUGAUAAAAUGAUUCAUCACUGAAAUUAAAACUAGUUCACGUACAAAUAAUCAAAACUGAAAUAGAAACAACGACAAACCAACCUGUAUUACGUCGAUUCAUUACAACAAACUGAAAUCGAGGCUGUGUGUUCCUGAAAAUUGAAAAAAUAAUAAUUUCACCAACUUCAUAUGUAAUACAAUCUCCAAAACACCGAAUAUCAAAUGAAAAAAUGGAAAGCAUAAGAGAGAAAAGAAUCUAAUUUUAUUGACCUUUUGACGACGAAGAGAGAGCCUUCAACAUCCUUACGACACCAUUGGCUGAGGUCGAUGUUGAACUCGUAGAAGGUGACAUGAGCGGCCGUGAUGAGGAUCUCCUCAAUGAAUGGAUCGAUUCGCUGAAGAACUGUCAGGUUUAGGAGUUUUGUGCUCUGCUGGUCCAGAUUAGGCAUCAAUUUUCCGUUCUGCGACAUUUUUCAUAGCCGUUUUGGGCUCUGCCCUGAGCACAAGCCCCAUGGUUUUUCUGUGAGCUCUUUCUCUUUUGUAAAUAAAGUGUUUGAUGAGAUAGCCCAGAGAGAGUGAGAGUUGAACAGCCAAACAAGAUGAGGUGAACAGUUUCGGAUUGAGACUCGAGAUUGGUCAAGCUUUAACUUCUUUCAAACAUUUGGGAAAUAGCAUUUAUUUCUUUCAAUUUCUC
rnacentral:lncRNA from 1 species